UGAUCCUGGCUCAGGACGAACGCUGGCGGCGUGCUUAACACAUGCAAGUCGAACGUGAUUUUUGUGGAAAUUCUUUCGGGAAUGGAAAUGAAAUGAAAGUGGCGAACGGGUGAGUAACACGUGAGCAACCUACCUUACACAGGGGGAUAGCCGUUGGAAACGACGAUUAAUACCGCAUGAGACCACAGAAUCGCAUGAUAUAGGGGUCAAAGAUUUAUCGGUGUAAGAAGGGCUCGCGUCUGAUUAGCUAGUUGGAAGGGUAAAGGCCUACCAAGGCGACGAUCAGUAGCCGGUCUGAGAGGAUGAACGGCCACAUUGGAACUGAGACACGGUCCAAACUCCUACGGGAGGCAGCAGUGGGGAAUAUUGCACAAUGGGGGGAACCCUGAUGCAGCGACGCCGCGUGAGCGAAGAAGGUUUUCGAAUCGUAAAGCUCUGUCCUAUGAGAAGAUAAUGACGGUAUCAUAGGAGGAAGCCCCGGCUAAAUACGUGCCAGCAGCCGCGGUAAUACGUAUGGGGCGAGCGUUGUCCGGAAUUAUUGGGCGUAAAGGGUACGUAGGCGGCCUUUUAAGUCAGGUGUGAAAGCGUGAGGCUUAACCUCAUUAAGCACUUGAAACUGGAAGACUUGAGUGAAGGAGAGGAAAGUGGAAUUCCUAGUGUAGCGGUGAAAUGCGUAGAUAUUAGGAGGAAUACCGGUGGCGAAGGCGACUUUCUGGACUUUUACUGACGCUCAGGUACGAAAGCGUGGGGAGCAAACAGGAUUAGAUACCCUGGUAGUCCACGCCGUAAACGAUGAG
rnacentral:rRNA from 1 species